UGGGGAAUAUUGCACAAUGGAGGGAACUCUGAUGCAGCGACGCCGCGUGAACGAAGAAGGCUUUCGAGUCGUAAAGUUCUUGUAUAUGGGAAGAUAAUGACGGUACCAUAAGAAAAAGCCCCGGCUAACUACGUGCCAGCAGCCGCGGUAAUACGUAGGGGGCUAGCGUUGUCCGGAAUCACUGGGCGUAAAGGGUUCGCAGGCGGAAAUGCAAGUCAGGUGUAAAAGGCAGUAGCUUAACUACUGUAAGCAUUUGAAACUGCAUAUCUUGAGAAGAGUAGAGGUAAGUGGAAUUUUUAGUGUAGCGGUGAAAUGCGUAGAUAUUAAAAAGAAUACCGGUGGCGAAGGCGACUUACUGGGCUCAUUCUGACGCUGAGGAACGAAAGCGUGGGUAGCAAACAGG
rnacentral:rRNA from 1 species